UUAGCAUUGGUAAUUAUCUGCUCAAAACAGUUACUCUUACAUAUAUAUGACUAUUUUUAGCGAAGUUAUGAUGAAAAUUCCGAUUGUAAAUAUCCAAUUUUCAAAAGACGAUAUCAAAAGACGAUUUUCCGAAUUUCGGUCAUAAGGUAAUCAGUUUUUUUUGCCAUAACACAUACAAAGAAGGUCACAACACGUAGGUAAAUACGUUACUCGUAGAGUAAAAGGGUAUACUAGAUUCGUUGAAAAUGAUGUAACCUAGUCUCCGACCUUAUAAAGUGUACAACACGUCGAUACGAUUCGACCAAAAUUUCUUAGCCACACCGAGUUAAUUAGCGCGGCGGCUAGAAAUUUAAAUAAGCUGAAUAUUAAUAUUUAAUUUAAUAUGAUGAACUUACCACACCGCCAACGGCAAAGGAAAACAUGGGGGCGUACCCACCUAACAGAAGGAUGUUUCCCAGGAUGCGAAUCUGCCGGGAUCGUUUUGAUCAAAUCUAACUUUAUUCCAUCUAGUUGGCGUGGGGUUUGCCGUACACGUAUACAGCUAGCAAUUCGGUUAUUCGAACCCCAUUCGUCACUUGGUACAGCUAAUUUGAUACAGAAAUCUACAAUAUUCUAUAGAAAAAGGGAAAAUGCCUUCGAUCAAUCCAUUUUUUGAAUAUGUGGCUGAAUACCGUAGAGAACAUCCAGACCUAAGACUACAACGAGUUAUCUUAUCAAGAGCUUCGGGUGAAUGGAAGACUUUAUCCGAAUCGCAGAAAUAUCGCUACCGCAAACAAGCGAGCGAUGAACGAAAUCGGCGUCGGAGAGUUGCUAUGGCAGAGAUGCCAACGAUGCUGUGCCAAGGAUGCCGUUAUGCCAAAUUAGCAUUUUAUGCACUGCUUUUGUUCUGUUGUUUAGUUUUGUUUUGCUUUUGCUUUUGUUUUUAUUGGUUUUCUUUUUAGUGAACAAAAUAAUAAUCAGUUUUUUGUCAGAACAUUCCAAAUAAAGGUUCAAAUAUAGAAUGCCAUACCUGGUUGAGCUCGUAAGAAAAUUUCC